UGCUGGAGGUAUCAGAAGUGCGAAUGCUGACAUAAGUAACGAUAAAGCGGGUGAAAAGCCCGCUCGCCGGAAGACCAAGGGUUCCUGUCCAACGUUAAUCGGGGCAGGGUGAGUCGACCCCUAAGGCGAGGCCGAAAGGCGUAGUCGAUGGGAAACGGGUUAAUAUUCCCGUACUUGGUGUUACUGCGAAGGGGGGACGGAGAAGGCUAUGUUGGCCGGGCGACGGUUGUCCCGGUUUAAGCGUGUAGGUGUGUGUUCCAGGUAAAUCCGGUUCACUUUAACACUGAGGCGUGACGACGAGGCACUACGGUGCUGAAGCAACAAAUGCCCUGCUUCCAGGAAAAGCCUCUAAGCAUCAGGUAACAUCAAAUCGUACCCCAAACCGACACAGGUGGUCAGGUAGAGAAUACCAAGGCGCUUGAGAGAACUCGGGUGAAGGAACUAGGCAAAAUGGUGCCGUAACUUCGGGAGAAGGCACGCUGACACGUAGGUGAAGUGAUUUACUCAUGGAGCUGAAGUCAGUCGAAGAUACCAGCUGGCUGCAACUGUUUAUUAAAAACACAGCACUGUGCAAACACGAAAGUGGACGUAUACGGUGUGACGCCUGCCCGGUGCCGGAAGGUUAAUUGAUGGGGUCAGCGCAAGCGAAGCUCCUGAUCGAAGCCCCGGUAAACGGCGGCCGUAACUAUAACGGUCCUAAGGUAGCGAAAUUCCUUGUCGGGUAAGUUCCGACCUGCACGAAUGGCGUAAUGAUGGCCAGGCUGUCUCCACCCGAGACUCAGUGAAAUUGAACUCGCUGUGAAGAUGCAGUGUACCCGCGGCAAGACGGAAAGACCCCGUGAACCUUUACUAUAGCUUGACACUGAACAUUGAGCCUUGAUGUGUAGGAUAGGUGGGAGGCUUUGAAGUGUGGACGCCAGUCUGCAUGGAGCCGACCUUGAAAUACCACCCUUUAAUGUUUGAUGUUCUAACGUGGACCCGUGAUCCGGGUUGCGGACAGUGUCUGGUGGGUAGUUUGACUGGGGCGGUCUCCUCCUAAAGAGUAACGGAGGAGCACGAAGGUUGGCUAAUCCUGGUCGGACAUCAGGAGGUUAGUGCAAUGGCAUAAGCCAGCUUGACUGCGAGCGUGACGGCGCGAGCAGGUGCGAAAGCAGGUCAUAGUGAUCCGGUGGUUCUGAAUGGAAGGGCCAUCGCUCAACGGAUAAAAGGUACUCCGGGGAUAACAGGCUGAUACCGCCCAAGAGUUCAUAUCGACGGCGGUGUUUGGCACCUCGAUGUCGGCUCAUCACAUCCUGGGGCUGAAGUAGGUCCCAAGGGUAUGGCUGUUCGCCAUUUAAAGUGGUACGCGAGCUGGGUUUAGAACGUCGUGAGACAGUUCGGUCCCUAUCUGCCGUGGGCGCUGGAGAACUGAGGGGGGCUGCUCCUAGUACGAGAGGACCGGAGUGGACGCAUCACUGGUGUUCGGGUUGUCAUGCCAAUGGCACUGCCCGGUAGCUAAAUGCGGAAGAGAUAAGUGCUGAAAGCAUCUAAGCACGAAACUUGCCCCGAGAUGAGUUCUCCCUGAGACUUUAAGUCUCCUGAAGGAACGUUGAAGACGACGACGUUGAUAGGCCGGGUGUGUAAGCGCAGCGAUGCGUUGAGCUAACCGGUACUAAUGAACCGUGAGGCUUAACCUUACAACGCCG
rnacentral:rRNA from 1 species